rnacentral:misc_RNA from 1 species
UGGCUCUCGCAUCGAUGAAGAACGCAGCGAAUUGCGAUAAGUAAUGUGAAUUGCAGAAUUCAGUGAAUCAUCGAAUCUUUGAACGCACCUUGCACCCUUUGGUAUUCCGAAGGGUAUGCCCGUUUGAGUGUCAUUGUAAUCUCACACUCGAGUUUUUCUUGACUCGAGAGGUGGACUUGGAGGCUUUGCGACCUUUGUUGGCUGCUCCUCUCAAAUGCGUUAGCGGUGCUUAUGAUCUCGCAUCACAAACCAGUGUAAUAAGAUUUCGCUGGGUUGGCUUGAUUUGGCUCGCUUCGAAUCGUCCUGUAUGGGACUGUCGCUCUGCGGCAAUCUGACAACUUGACCUCAAAUCGGGUAGGACUACCCGCUGA